GGAGAGGUGCUAGAGAGGUCGAAUAGGGCGGCCUGCUAAGCCGUUGUACGGGUAACACCGUACCGUGGGUUCGAAUCCCACCCUCUCCG
rnacentral:tRNA from 1 species